UACGUAGGUGGCAAGCGUUGUCCGGAUUACUGGGCGUAAAGAGCGCGCAGGCGGUCGUGCAAGUCGCGUGUGAAAGCCCCCGGCUCAACUGGGGAGGGUCACGCGAUACUGCUCGACUCGAAGGCAGGAGAGGGAAGUGGAAUUCCAGGUGUAGCGGUGAAAUGCGUAGAUAUCUGGAGAAACACCGGUGGCGAAGGCGGCAUCCUGGACCGGUAUUGACGCUGAGGAGCGAAAGCCAGGGGAGCAAAGCGGG
rnacentral:rRNA from 1 species